rnacentral:lncRNA from 1 species
CUUUCAGAUGGCAAAAUGUCGGCGGAAUCCCAGACACAUCGGGUGUGAUGUUCCCUUGUCAAUAGUAAAAAGGUAUCUGUAUUGUGUAGUUGUUGUUGGAAAUAGGUUUCUCAACAGAGGAAAAAAUAUUCAUAACUGAGUAUUAUUUCUGCUCAUAUAAAAGUGGUGAUGAAGGAGUACCAAGUUUGAAAAAGGUGGCAGAACAAUUCUGAUAGAGAUUUAAUAAGAUGCCAUGAAGUAACACAAUUAUUCCAUAUGAAGAAAAAUUGCCAUGUACUUGUAAUGGUCUUGAAUGAUGGCAAGUCACCCAAGACUGCUACAGGGACAUACUGAUUGGCCAUUUCUUUAGGAUUUGAGAAAGUUCUGUCAUGCAAAGGCCACAUGAAUAGAUAGUGGUAUCAACAGGAUGGAGGCAACUAAUCAUACAGCUUGAGAAUCUCUAGCUAUUCUGCAGGAAAACUUUCCAGGAUGAAUCAUUUCACAUGGUACUGACUUCGCGUUCUCAUCCCAUUCCCCUGAUCUUAUAACACUUGAUACUUAUUUGUGAAGAAUGUUAAAGGAAAGUGUGUUCAACUGUGAAGAUCCGCCAAUAACUUUUCUGCAUUAUGCGAGUGAAUUAUCUCCUUUUACAGGAGUCUGCAGCAAUCUCUAUUCUAAGAUAUGUUUGAGAUUCUGCAUGAACAAUAUGAAUGCUGUCUACAGUGAGGCAGUUCACACUUCUAGCACUUACAUUAUAUAUACCGUGAUAAAUGAACUCACUAAUUGUGUGUAUGUUAGUUUCUUUCAGGAGAAAUAAACUAACAGAUGACAACAAAGUAAUAUUGC